UUAGCGAGAGGAAGGUGGGAAUCCUUCCGGCCGAAUAUCUAAGGUUUCCAGAGUAAAGCUGAUCUGCUCUGGGUAAGUCGGGGCCUAAGGAGAGGUCGCAAGACGUAUCCGAUGGACAACAGGUUUAGAUUCCUGUACCGCAUAUAAACAGAACUGUGGGGACGCAUGUGGAAAGCAUAAGCCGGGAAUGGAAAGACCGGUACAAGCGAGGUAGGUGUGUGACAGGCAAAUCCGUCAUAUAAGCCGAAGACGUGAUGUGGAGCGAAAUUUAGUAGUGAAGUAUGUGAGCCAUGUGCCGAGAAAAGCCGCUAUUGUUUUAUAUGUGCCCGUACCGUAAACCGACACAGGUGGAUGAGGAGAAAAUCCUAAGGCCGACGGAAGAAGCAUUGUUAAGGAAUUCGGCAAAAUGACCCCGUAACUUCGGGAGAAGGGGUGCCCACUGAAUGGUGGGCCGCAGAGAAUAGGCUCAAGCAACUGUUUAGCAAAAACACAGGUCUAUGCGGAACCGAAAGGUGAAGUAUAUGGGCUGACGCCUGCCCGGUGCUGGAAGGUUAAGAGGAGAGGUUAGCGUAAGCGAAGCUUUGAAUUUAAGCCCCAGUAAACGGCGGCCGUAACGAUAACGGUCCUAAGGUAGCGAAAUUCCUUGUCGGGUAAGUUCCGACCCGCACGAAAGGCGUAAUGAUUUGAGCACUGUCUCGACAAUGCAUCCGGUGAAAUUGAAGUACCAGUGAAGAUGCUGGUUACCCGCGCCAGGACGGAAAGACCCCAUGGAGCUUUACUCCAGUUUGAUACUGGGAUUCGGUACUGCACGUACAGGAUAGGUGGGAGACUGAGAACUAUGGACGCCAGUCUGUAGGGAGUCGCUGUUGGGAUACCACCCCUGUAGUACUGGGUUUCUAACCAUCUGCCGUGAUCCGGCAGUGGGACAAUGUCAGGCGGGGAGUUUGACUGGGGCGGUCGCCUCCGAAAGGGUAUCGGAGGCGCUCAAAGGUUCCCUCAGAAUGGUCGGAAACCAUUUGAAGAGUGCAAAGGCAGAAGGGAGCUUGACUGCGACACCGACGGGUGGAGCAGGUACGAAAGUAGGACUUAGUGAUCCGGUGGUAUAAAGUGGGAUUGCCAUCGCUCAACGGAUAAAAGCUACCCUGGAUAACAGGCUUAUCACUCCCAAGAGUUCACAUCGACGGAGUGGUUUGGCACCUCGAUGUCGGCUCAUCGCAUCCUGGGGCUGUAGCAGGUCCCAAGGGUUGGGCUGUUCGCCCAUUAAAGCGGUACGCGAGCUGGGUUCAGAACGUCGUGAGACAGUUCGGUCCCUAUCCGGCGCGGGCGGAGGAUAUUUGAGAGGAGCUGUCCUUAGUACGAGAGGACCGGGAUGGACGGACCACUGGUGUAUCUGUUGUCGACCAACGGCAUGGCAGAGUAGCCAAGUCCGGAAGGGAUAAACGCUGAAAGCAUCUAAGCGUGAAGCCCCCCUCAAGAUGAGAUAUCCCUCCUUCGGGAGUAAGACCCCUUGAAGACUACAAGGUAGAUAGGGCAGAGGUGGAAGUGUGGCAACACAUGGAGCUGACUGUUACUAAUAGGUCGAGGGCUUGAU
rnacentral:rRNA from 1 species